rnacentral:rRNA from 1 species
GACAGAGGGUGCAAACGUUGUUCGGAAUUACUGGGCGUAAAGCGCGUGUCGGCGGCUCUGCAAUUCGGAUGUGAAAGCCCUGGGCUCAACCUAGGAAGUGCACUCGAAACUGCAGAGCUUGAGUCUCGGAGAGGAUCGCGGAAUUCUCGGUGUAGAGGUGAAAUUCGUAGAUAUCGAGAGGAACACCGGUGGCGAAGGCGGCGAUCUGGACGAUGACUGACGCUGAGACGCGAAAGCGUGGGGAGCAAACAGG